GGUGGCUCAGUGGUAGAGUGCUUGCCUCACAUGCAUGAGGCCCUAAGUUCAGUUCUUUAGCACCA
rnacentral:tRNA from 1 species